rnacentral:rRNA from 1 species
UACGAAGGGGGCUAGCGUUGCUCGGAAUCACUGGGCGUAAAGCGCACGUAGGCGGGUCUUUAAGUCAGGGGUGAAAUCCUGGAGCUCAACUCCAGAACUGCCUUUGAUACUGAGGAUCUCGAGUCCGGGAGAGGUGAGUGGAACUCCGAGUGUAGAGGUGAAAUUCGUAGAUAUUCGGAAGAACACCAGUGGCGAAGGCGGCUCACUGGCCCGGUACUGACGCUGAAGUGCGAAAGCGUGGGGAGCAAACAGG